AAUUAAUUAAUGAACAACACAACGUAACCCCCAAACUUUUCAUGCUUCUUUUAGGUUUUUACAAUUCACUUUCAAUAACCAUGAUUUCUAGCAUGGUAUCAGAGCCUCGGAUCUUGAUCCUGUGGGCUUCAUGCUUUUGUCUAUCUUUAGCUUCCACUGUUAUCAGUUUCUUUCGGUUUCAGUUUUCGUUUUCCCCUAAUUUUCUAAAUCCCUAGCCUUAGAUCUCUAAGUUUCAUGCCCAGUCUAUCAAUUCGAAGCCGAUAAAUCAUCAAAUCAGAUUUCAUCAUCGUUACCCAGCUGUUUUCUCCUCUUCUUGUCGCGCUUUGACAGUGAAUUUGGAAAUCUGAAUUCAGGACCUAGGGUCUGCAUCUGAGUCUGCUUCCAGGCCUCGACUUUGCUCUUUGUUCAGUCAUCUCCGUCGUCUCCUUUGGACGCUAUGGUCGCUGGUGUAUCUCUUCUCGUUUUCUCAUCGAUUGGACUAGCGGCAGUAGAUGGUGAUUUGACGUCAAAUGUGCGAUGGGUAUUCUGGGUAUCAAGCAGGAUAAACUAUCAAAAUUUGAUGAAUAUUGCUUGGCCACUGCGUGAGUUGUAUCAAAUAAAAUGCUGGAUUUUGCUCGACUCCUUCUGAAGUUGGUGUAUAGCAGGUUGCAGCAAUUGUGAGCAAUACUAUAGAUAGUGUAGCAGGCGCGUAGUUUAUCCUGGUCACUAUUGUUGCCCAGUAGCCAAGACAAAUCUGAAUGUGCAAGUUAUGGUUCUUCUAAUAUAGUUUAAAUUGAUGAACAUUUAAUUGUCUCCUUGUCAACUUGAACGGGCAGGAUGAACAAUUUGUCAUUCUGCAUUAGUGUGUUUUUUGUAGGAAAUGUGCUCUUUUAGUAGUGAGACUCAAUACGUGUAUAAAUCAUUUUAAUAUUUAUCAUAUGAACAUCAUGAUU